CACCUCCCGCCAAAUAGUCUUCUUACAUCUCAUUUGCCAGAACUGAAGGCCACCUCUACUCACAAAGGAACCUGGGAAGGCGAUCCUUUUAUUUGGGCAUAUUGAAGCCUUCAAUGAAAACAGGGGACUGUCGGUUCAAAGAGUCAAGAGGGUGCUUGCCAUCCCUUCCUUCACUGCCAACCGCCCACUCUCUCCUCGUCUCCAGACUUGAAGGUGAAUGUGGCUGGAGAAAGACAAGAGGAUGCUAAUGUGUCACCAGGAGGGAUCAGUGCUGCUGAACGAGCCCACGCUUCCCUGGGAUGUAAAAUUUGGAGAGGUUGAGUGACUUGCCUAGGGUCACAGAGCUCUGCUGAGUCUAAUUUUUAAAAAUGCGCCUCAUGACCCUCCGG